rnacentral:rRNA from 1 species
CAACGCCGCGUGGAGGAUGAAGCCCCUUGGGGCGUAAACUCCUUUCGAUAGGGACGAUAAUGACCGGUUACCUAUAGAACGAAGCCCCGGCUAAACUUCCGUGC